rnacentral:rRNA from 1 species
UACGGAGGGUGCAAGCGUUAUCCGGAUUCACUGGGUUUAAAGGGUGUGUAGGCGGAUAUUUAAGUCAGUGGUGAAAUCUCUGGGCUCAACCCAGAAACUGCCAUUGAUACUAUUUAUCUUGAAUUCUGUUGAGGUGGGCGGAAUACAUCAUGUAGCGGUGAAAUGCUUAGAUAUGAUGUAGAACACCGAUUGCGAAGGCAGCUCACUAAACAGCGAUUGACGCUGAGGCGCGAAAGCGUGGGGAGCAAACAGG